CAAAAACAUCGCCUCUUGCAAAAAUAAAGAAUAAGAGGUCCUGCCUGCCCUGUGAUGAAAGUUUAACGGCCGCGGUAUUUUGACCGUGCAAAGGUAGCGUAAUCACCUGUCUUUUAAAUGAAGACCUGUAUGAAUGGCAUAACGAGGGCUUUACUGUCUCCUUUUUCAAGUCAAUGAAAUUGAUCUUCCCGUGCAGAAACGGGAAUACCACCAUAAGACGAGAAGACCCUAUGGAGCUUUAGACACUAAAGCAGAUCUUGUUAAAUUCCCUUAAAUAAAAGAUUAAACCAAAAGAAACCUGCUCUAACGUCUUUGGUUGGGGCGACCGCGGGGAAACAAAUAACCCCCAUGUGGACCGAGAACACUGUUCUUAAAACCAAGAGCCACAGCUCUAAUUAACAGAAUUUCUGACCUUAAGAUCCGGCAACGCCGAUCAACGGACCGAGUUACCCUAGGGAUAACAGCGCAAUCCUCUUUUAGAGCCCAUAUCGACAAGGGGGUUUACGACCUCGAUGUUGGAUCAGGACAUCCUAUUGGUGCAGCCGCUAUUAAGGGUUCGUUUGUUCAACGAUUAAAGUCCUACGUGA
rnacentral:rRNA from 1 species